rnacentral:sRNA from 1 species
GUCACCCACUGUUCUCACUUUUCUAUUAUAUAUUGUAGUAGACUUUAACCUGCAGUGUAUCCUGUUGCCCCAGAGCAGCACAAGCUUUACGGCUGUCUUACAGAUAUAGUUCACAUCAUGCUAUUCAAAGUGGGUUACCUUCUCUUCAUUGGUGCAUUCUACGUUGCUGGUCAGACUGUGCCUUCUGCGACAGAAAAUGCUUCCGAAGAAACAAACUCUCUUCCUGAGGAGACAGACACUGAUUCUAAAGUCAAUGAUUUAAAAGACUCUUUAAGCGAUUUACAUAAAAAAAUAUUUUUAAACAAAUUGGCUGCUGCAAAUGAGGCUGUGAAAUGGACACCUGUUGUUUCACCAUAUACUAGUCUUUUUACUCGAGAUUUCCAAAACUUAGAA